rnacentral:rRNA from 1 species
UACGGAGGGGGCUAGCGUUGUUCGGAAUUACUGGGCGUAAAGCGCACGUAGGCGGCUUUGUAAGUUAGAGGUGAAAGCCCGGGGCUCAACCCCGGAAUUGCCUUUAAGACUGCAUCGCUUGAACGUCGGAGAGGUGAGUGGAAUUCCGAGUGUAGAGGUGAAAUUCGUAGAUAUUCGGAAGAACACCAGUGGCGAAGGCGGCUCACUGGACGACUGUUGACGCUGAGGCGCGAAAGCUAGGGGAGCAAACGGG